rnacentral:rRNA from 1 species
GCUCAGAUUGAACGCUGGCGGCAGGCCUAACACAUGCAAGUCGAGCGGUAGCACAGGAGAGCUUGCUCUCUGGGUGACGAGCGGCGGACGGGUGAGUAAUGUCUGGGAAACUGCCUGAUGGAGGGGGAUAACUACUGGAAACGGUAGCUAAUACCGCAUAACGUCUUCGGACCAAAGUGGGGGACCUUCGGGCCUCACGCCAUCAGAUGUGCCCAGAUGGGAUUAGCUAGUAGGUGGGGUAAUGGCUCACCUAGGCGACGAUCCCUAGCUGGUCUGAGAGGAUGACCAGCCACACUGGAACUGAGACACGGUCCAGACUCCUACGGGAGGCAGCAGUGGGGAAUAUUGCACAAUGGGCGCAAGCCUGAUGCAGCCAUGCCGCGUGUGUGAAGAAGGCCUUCGGGUUGUAAAGCACUUUCAGCGAGGAGGAAGGGUUCAGUGUUAAUAGCACUGUUCAUUGACGUUACUCGCAGAAGAAGCACCGGCUAACUCCGUGCCAGCAGCCGCGGUAAUACGGAGGGUGCAAGCGUUAAUCGGAAUUACUGGGCGUAAAGCGCACGCAGGCGGUUUGUUAAGUCAGAUGUGAAAUCCCCGCGCUUAACGUGGGAACUGCAUUUGAAACUGGCAAGCUAGAGUCUUGUAGAGGGGGGUAGAAUUCCAGGUGUAGCGGUGAAAUGCGUAGAGAU